UUGUGCCUACGGGGCGCAGCAGUGGGGAAUAUUGGGCAAUGGGCGCAAGCCUGACCCAGCAACGCCGCGUGAAGGAAGAAGGCUUUCGGGUUGUAAACUUCUUUUAAGAGGGAAGAGCGGAAGACGGUACCUCUUGAAUAAACCACGCCUAACUACGUGCCAGCAGCCGCGGUAAUACGUAGGCGGCAAGCGUUGUCCGGAUUUACUGGGUGUAAAGGGCGUGCAGCCGGGAAGACAAGUCAGAUGUGA
rnacentral:rRNA from 1 species